ensembl:ncRNA lncRNA:CR45155 long non-coding RNA:CR45155
AUUGUGUAACUAACCAUACUUUAAGUGUACUAUUUUGAUGACGAGGGCAAUUGGAACGGCUCCUGAACGUGGCCUGCCAACGUCUCCUUGAGUAAUGAUGCCUUUUGACAUUGUCUAAGCGAUUUAAUGCGUGGAAUCGUGAGUUGGCUGGAAAUCAAAUGGGCAUUGAGAUGUCGGCCCUCGAAUAUGCACGCGGCCACCAUUCAGCCACUCAGCGACCCAGGCACUCAGCCACUCAACCCUGUGUACCGCUAAGCCACCAAACCGCCGAACCGCCGAACCGCCGAACCACCGAACCAUUCCAGGAUCAAGUCACUCAUUUAUUUAUGUUGAGCACGGUGCAUUGGGACGCUUUUGUGGCCGGGGCACGCUGCUCUUUUGGCCAUCAUCGCCUGCGGCUGGGAUGUCUUAAUUAAGCUUAAAUGAUGCUGCAAAAUUUAUUUCAUCUCGCACCAGGAGCAAUAUCGCCAACUGGGGGUUAAGGUGCGAGCAUCUUCUAUAUACGCCUGCCGUGCAUAUAAAUUAUCCAAGCAAAUUACAAGGCACGAAAAUUGAAAUUGUGUAUGUGGAUGGGCAGACGGUGGUGGGCGUGGCAGCUUGGCAGCAUAGCUCUUG